rnacentral:rRNA from 1 species
AGACGAGAGGCCCAAGCGUUAAUCGGAAUCACUGGGCUUAAAGGGUGCGCAGGCGGGCUCGUGUGUGUGCCGUGAAAUCCCUCAGCUCAACUGAGGAAUUGCGGUGCAAACUGCGAGCCUUGAGGUAGGUAGGGGCUGUUGGAACGAUCGGUGGAGCGGUGAAAUGCGUUGAUAUCGAUCGGAACGCCGAAGGUGAAGACAAGCAGCUGGGCCUUACCUGACGCUCAUGCACGAAAGCGUGGGGAUCAAACAGGAUUAGAAACCCCGGUAGUCC